GAGUUUGAUCUUGGCUCAGGACGAACGCUGGCGGCAGGCUUAACACAUGCAAGCCGAGCGGGCGUAGCAAUACGUCAGCGGCAGACGGGUGAGUAACGCGUGGGAACGUACCUUUUGGUUCGGAACAACACAGGGAAACUUGUGCUAAUACCGGAUAAGCCCUUACGGGGAAAGAUUUAUCGCCGAAAGAUCGGCCCGCGUCUGAUUAGCUAGUUGGUGAGGUAACGGCUCACCAAGGCAACGAUCAGUAGCUGGUCUGAGAGGAUGAUCAGCCACAUUGGGACUGAGACACGGCCCAAACUCCUACGGGAGGGCAGCAGUGGGGAAGUAAUUGGACGAAUGGGCGGCAAGCCUCGAUCCACGCCACUGCCGCGUGAGUGAUGAAGGCCCUAGGGUUG
rnacentral:rRNA from 1 species